rnacentral:rRNA from 1 species
AUUGAACGCUGGCGGCAGGCUUAACACAUGCAAGUCGAGCGGGGUGAUGGUGCUUGCACUAUCACUUAGCGGCGGACGGGUGAGUAAUGCUUAGGAAUCUGCCUAUUAGUGGGGGACAACAUCUCGAAAGGGAUGCUAAUACCGCAUACGUCCUACGGGAGAAAGCAGGGGAUCACUUGUGACCUUGCGCUAAUAGAUGAGCCUAAGUCGGAUUAGCUAGUUGGUGGGGUAAAGGCCUACCAAGGCGACGAUCUGUAGCGGGUCUGAGAGGAUGAUCAGCCACCCUGGGACUGAGACACGGCCCAGACUCCUACGGGAGGAAGCAGGGGGGGAUAUUGGACAAUGGGGGGAACCCUGAGCCAGCCAUGCCGCGUGUGUGAAGAAGGCCUUAUGGUUGUAAAGCACUUUAAGCGAGGAGGAGGCUCUUUUGGUUAAUACCCAAGAUGAGUGGACGUUACUCGCAGAAUAAGCACCGGCUAACUCUGUGCCAGCAGCCGCCGUAA